rnacentral:rRNA from 1 species
GAGUUUGAUCCUGGCUCAGGAUGAACGCUGGCGGCGUGCUUAACACAUGCAAGUCGAACGGGGUACCCUUGACAGAGGCUUCGGCCAAUUGAUAGGAAUACCUAGUGGCGGACGGGUGAGUAACGCGUGAGGAACCUGCCUUGGAGUGGGGAAUAACAGUUAGAAAUAGCUGCUAAUACCGCAUAAUACAGCGGAGUCGCAUGGCUCUGCUGUCAAAGAUUUAUCGCUCUGAGAUGGCCUCGCGUCUGAUUAGUUUGUUGGCGGGGUAACGGCCCACCAAGACGAUGAUCAGUAGCCGGACUGAGAGGUUGGCCGGCCACAUUGGGACUGAGACACGGCCCAGACUCCUACGGGAGGCAGCAGUGGGGAAUAUUGGGCAAUGGGCGCAAGCCUGACCCAGCAACGCCGCGUGAAGGAAGAAGGCCCUCGGGUUGUAAACUUCUUUUCUUGGGGACGAACAAAUGACGGUACCCGAGGAAUAAGCCACGGCUAACUACGUGCCAGCAGCCGCGGUAAUACGUAGGUGGCAAGCGUUAUCCGGAUUUAUUGGGUGUAAAGGGCGUG